GUGGAUGAAAACUAGUCAUGAUGGGGGAAGAAUGAGGAGGAUAAGUGGGAUGAAAACUGGUCAGGAUGGGAAUGAGGAGGAUGAGUGGGAUGAACUGGGCUGAUGGAAGAGAAGUGACAAGAAUAAAUGCAGCAAAAGGUUAAUUUGAAACCAGUAUGAGGGGAUGAGGUAAAUAAAUGACCCAAACCUCAACCAGUAAAGGAGUUUGACUUGGUAAAGAAAACUUCCAUGAAUGUAAACUAAAUUACAUCCAUUAGGUUUUAUAAACUGGGUUUGAAUCGGUUUCCAUUCAAGAAAUUAACUUAAAUCAAGUUCAACUACAGCCACAUUUUCCUUUUCUAACAACAAGUUCAAAGGUUUUAAUGGUCUCUAUGAAAGAGAAUCAGUGAUUUUCCUCUUAGGAAAAUGUUAUUUAAUCACCUAAUUAGCUUUAAGGUUAAUAAAAAACCUGUAUAUUCUCAGUAUUUAUGUAAGAAAUGUAAACAUACCGAGAAUAUAAUAAAUUUGCAAAGCUGACAUUCCAGAUCUGGUUCCUGUAUUUACAAUGAAGAUUUAAACUUCCCAUGAAGGUCAUUAGACACCAGCUGUCAGGAAAUUAAUGUCCCCGUUUCAGGCCUGAACAAUAAUCAUUGUUUUCUACUGAAGGAAAUGAGCGAGUAACACAACAAACCUACAGGCCAGGAGAACAGCUUACUGGAUUAUUUUUUAGAAAAUACAAACAGAAAGCAAAUCCUCUGAAGACAUCAUUCUGCCUACGAAGGAAAAUACAUGAGUGGAAACUGGAAACAUAAUUAUGUUGUUCAGUUUUUAUUGUUUUUAGCUGCUUUUUGGCUCACAACACAUUUUAGAUCCUCAAGUCUAACCCAAAACCAGAAUUUGCUCAGCUAAGUAGAACAACCAUGAAUAAUAUCUAAAUUGUGUUUUGGAGUUUUAGGAUUCCAGCAGAUGGUAAUCCAGAUUAUUCUCAAUAUUUUUUCAUUAAUCCAAAUUUAUUGGAUGUUUAUUUAAGCUUAGAAGAAUUUACAACC